rnacentral:rRNA from 1 species
CUAACGAUUGAUCUAGUUACUUAAAAAGAUGAAGGAUUAAAAAUAUAAAUAAAAUAUAUUUAUAGAAUAAUAAAUAUAUAUGAAAAUAUAAAAAAAGAGAAUAAUCAAUGUAAAAUAUAAAGUCUAAGUUUAUAUGAUAGAAUAAUGAUCAAUAUAAAAAUAAGUCUUGACCAAAAAUAGUGCCAGCAGUAGCGGUUAAACUAUGGAGGCAAACGUUAAUAAUUAAGGCUUAAAGAAUCCGUAGAAUGUCCUCUAAUAAAAAGUAAGAGAGGAUAGUGUUUAAAAGAAAGAUUAAAGAAUUAUUUAAGGAGCGCUGAGAUGUGAAAAAAUAAAUAAGACUAAUAUAAAUUGAAGAUAUUAAUCAAGAUUUAAACAGACAUUGAGAGGAUGAGAGCUUGAGGAGUAACCGGGAUUAGAUACCCCAUUAAUUCAAGCCGUAAACUAUGAGUACUAUAAAAUAAAAUAAAAGCGAAGGCUAAGUAUUCCGCCAGGUGAGNAUAUUCGCA